AUCAUGGUUCUCGGAGCCUGAACCUCUGUCAAGGAAAAGGUUCAGCAUUAGUUAUGCCAGUGCAGGCUCCCUAACACUCUCGCAUCAUUGUGCUUCAGCUCUGAUCUGAGGGACCAGGCCUAGGGCUGAAAGAACAGGUCAGUCUCCAUGGCCCAUUCAGGCCUUGAUUCAA
rnacentral:sRNA from 1 species